rnacentral:misc_RNA from 1 species
UCAACCCUCAAACUUGGUUUGUUAUUGGGUCUUUUAUCGUUAAGAUAGACCUGAAAGAUAAUGGCGGCGUCAUGAUUGACCCCAGGUGCAGCGAGCUUUAAGCAUACACUGAGGUGGUUGUCAUGGCCUGGCCUUCUUAAAAUUUUAAUUCUAA